AAGUUCAAGCACUGCUUAGACUUGAUUUGUAUUUUGAGAUGCUAAGCUAAGCCUUUGGGGUAUUGUUGGAGGAGAUGGAGAGGAGUUCACUAUUUUGUAUCAUAGUAUGAUGGGAUUUAAGCCAAGAUAGAGAUUUAUUGAGUCUGGCUUGAAUUUUGGUGUGACAUGGUUUAUCAUCUAAUCUGACUAUUUUGAGGAAGAUGAAGAGUGAACUUUUUAAUGAGGUAUAUAGUGGAAGCGUAGGGCUUGGACUAUUAAGCCCAAGCCUGAAGUCCACCACUAACCUUUAGCGGGGGUGUGGGGCACAACCUUUAUGGUACG
rnacentral:lncRNA from 1 species